UACGUAGGCAGCGAGCGUUGUUCGGAGUUACUGGGCGUAAAGGGCGCGUAGGCGGUCAGCACAAGUCAGUUGUGAAAUCUCCGGGCUUAACUCGGAAAGGUCAACUGAUACUGUGCGACUAGAGUGCAGAAGGGGCAACUGGAAUUCUCGGUGUAGCGGUGAAAUGCGUAGAUAUCAGGAGGAAUACCGGUGGCGAAGGCGGCCUUCUGGACGGUGACUGACGCUGAGACGCGAAAGCGUGGGGAGCAAACAGG
rnacentral:rRNA from 1 species